UACGUAGGUGGCAAGCGUUGUCCGGAUUUAUUGGGUUUAAAGGGUGCGUAGGUGGAUUAGUAAGUCAGUGGUGAAAUCUCUGGGCUUAACUCAGAAACUGCCAUUGAUACUAUUAAUCUUGAAUACCGUGGAGGUCAGCGGAAUAUGUCAUGUAGCGGUGAAAUGCUUAGAUAUGACAUAGAACACCAAUUGCGAAGGCAGCUGGCUACACGAAUAUUGACACUGAGGCACGAAAGCGUGGGGAUCAAACAGG
rnacentral:rRNA from 1 species